GACGAAGGAUGCAAGCGUUAUCCGGAUUCACUGGGUUUAAAGGGUGCGUAGGUGGGCAAGUAAGUCAGUGGUGAAAUCUCCGGGCUUAACCCGGAAACUGCCAUUGAUACUAUUUGUCUUGAAUACUGUGGAGGUCAGCGGAAUAUGUCAUGUAGCGGUGAAAUGCUUAGAUAUGACAUAGAACACCAAUUGCGAAGGCAGCUGGCUACACAAAUAUUGACACUGAGGCACGAAAGCGUGGGGAUCAAACAGG
rnacentral:rRNA from 1 species